rnacentral:rRNA from 1 species
GACGAACCGUGCGAACGUUAUUCGGAAUCACUGGGCUUAAAGCGCGUGUAGGCGGGACGGCACGUCGGUCGCUGAAAGCCCCCGGCUCAACCGGGGAACGGGCGCCGAUACGACCGUCCUGGAGGGACGUAGGGGGACCUGGAACUUCCGGUGGAGCGGUGAAAUGCGUUGAGAUCGGAAGGAACGCCCGUGGCGAAAGCGAGGUCCUGGACGUUUUCUGACGCUGAGACGCGAAAGCCAGGGGAGC